GCUUUGCACUUACCAUAUGGCGGUGCAGGCCGAUCACUACUUAGGGUGGUCAGCUUAGUUGUCCUGCUUAGGCGAACACACAUCUGGGUUUGGCAUAACGUCGAGUAGCCUUGAGCAAAAGACGGAGCCAGC
rnacentral:ncRNA from 1 species